UAAAACUCAACCCACACUGGAAUUGCACUUUAAUUUUCCCACUCAACUUAGUUCCACAAUUUUCUCAGAAUUCCCACAAUUGUAUGAUCUGUGUAUGGUUUAAAGGACGAGUCCACCUGCAUUCCUUUCUGGGUUUCUCAAAUGGAAACGUCCACUCAGCCAUUAGCAAAAAGCCAGGGUUAGAGCCAGAGCACUGAUGAAACCUCAAAAACUCAAAAAGUAAUGUACCCACCCUUUAAACAGGAAAAGCAGAGAUGUUUUCCAGUAUUGCUGGGCCUUCUUGUGGUUGGCACCCUGAUGAACUGGAAUCUCUGAAGUCAGACUGUAAGCGGAUAUACCUGCACGUAUGUUAAUCAAAGACAACCUAUUGACAGCCAGGAGGGAAAUCCUGUGUCCUGUCAUACUCAUGAUGAGACAGACUGACAGAUGGACAAAGAACAAGAAAGAAAAAAACAUACUACUCUGUGAUUGUUCAGUACAUGGAGUUUCAAAUCCUGCCAGGCCCCACCCCUCUCCAUGCAGGAGCCCAGAUCAACCAGCAGGAGUCACCAGGACACAAUCCCUCACUGGAUUCCCACUGGCUAACAUUCACAUGUGGAAAGAGAUCACAUAAUACAGGUGUUGUCAUUGACAUACCUGCACAAGUAAAAGUGAUUGUGAGUGUGAUUUGAAUAAAGGUCU